UUUACUGAGAGUUUGAUCCUGGCUCAGGACGAACGCUGGCGGCGUGCCUAAUACAUGCAAGUCGUGCGGACCUUAUAAAUGCUUGCUUUUAAAAGGUUAGCGGCGGACGGGUGAGUAACACGUGGGCAACCUGCCUGUAAGACCGGGAUAACGCCGGGAAACCGGGGCUAAUACCGGAUAGUUAUUUCCUCCGCAUGGAAGAAAAAGGAAAGGCGGCUUCGGCUGCCACUUACAGAUGGGCCCGCUGCGCAUUAGCUAGUUGGCGGGGUAACGGCCCACCAAGGCAACGAUGCGUAGCCGACCUGAGAGGGUGAUCGGCCACAUUGGGACUGAGACACGGCCCAAACUCCUACGGGAGGCAGCAGUAGGGAAUCUUCCGCAAUGGACGAAAGUCUGACGGAGCAACGCCGCGUGAGUGAAGAAGGCCUUCGGGUCGUAAAACUCUGUUGCCGGGGAAGAACAAGUGCCGUUCGAACAGGGCGGCACCUUGACGGUACGCGGCCAGAAAGCCACGGCUAACUACGUGCCAGCAGCCGCGGUAAUACGUAGGUGGCAAGCGUUGUCCGGAAUUAUUGGGCGUAAAGCGCGCGCAGGCGGCUUCUUAAGUCUGAUGUGAAAUCUUGCGGCUCAACCGCAAGCG
rnacentral:rRNA from 1 species